GCAAAAUUGGCAACACACACAAUAAAAUUGGAAGGAUACUGAGAAGAUCUUCUUGGCACCUGUGCAAGGGUGACAGGCAAAAUAAAAAAUGCAGAUCAUUUACAU